CACAACCCCACCAGGGCCCAGGACAAACUGCAACUGAGAGGCUGAGAAGUCCCACGGUCUGUUUCUGCAAGCUGGAGCCCCAGGAGAGCUGUUGGUGUAAUCCAGUCUGAGUUGGAAGGCCUGAGAACCAAAGGAGAGGAUGGUGUCAGUCCUAGUGCAAGGGAAGAAGACCAGUGUCCCAGCUCAAGCAGGCAAGCUGUAUUAGUAACUAGCUACCUACGCUGACACUGCCAUUCCAGUGCAGAAGUCGCAGGGCAUCCAGAGAGCAGCGGAGCUGUUAUAUGCGUUCCAGGGUCCCGCCAGGAGCAUCAGUGAGGCUGCCAAACAUAGAUACCAGUUUUCGGACACACAGCUGGUACC